UACGUAGGGGGCUAGCGUUGUCCGGAAUCAUUGGGCGUAAAGAGCGUGUAGGCGGUCCGGUAAGUCCGUUGUGAAAGUCAGGGGCUCAACCCUUGAAUGCCGGCGGAUACUGUCGGGCUAGAGUCCGGAAGAGGCGAGUGGAAUUCCCGGUGUAGCGGUGAAAUGCGCAGAUAUCAGGAGGAACACCGAUGGCGAAGGCAGCUCGCUGGGACGGUACUGACGCUGGAGGCGACGAAAGCGUGGGGAGCAAACAGG
rnacentral:rRNA from 1 species